GGAACUUUGUUCAUGUGCAAUGGUGUAGCGUGGCUCUACUAAUGGAAUGGUGAAUAACAGGACCUGAAAAGCUAUAUUGGAAUGUAUGAAUAAGGUGUUGAUACACUAGAAGCUGGUGUUUGCAGCGUGUGGCGGUGCCCAAACGUUGCCUGAGGUUGCAGUUCUUGACCUUUGUAAGAAAAUGGGAUGGGGUCAUCGGUGAUUUCAACACAGCCAUAUUGUUGAUUUUUAGCGUAAGUGAAUUGAGGAAAUACCAAUCUCAACAUCCUCGAGUGAAUUUUCGCUUCGCGUUAGCAUGCAGUGCAAAUACGAGAGAUAAAACGAAGUUGGAAGUCCAUUUGGAGAUUGUUUUGUGGAGUGACAGUAUCAUAUCUGUCUCGUCUCUCGGUCAAGACCCUCCUCGUGACGUCACAAGGGUAGAUGAGUAAUCCUCCCACAACGUCCCAAGCAGAUGUUGCAUAUACCACAGCGGAAAUAUCAGAUGUUGCAUUUACCACGAAGAAACAGAAGACGG
rnacentral:lncRNA from 1 species